rnacentral:rRNA from 1 species
UACGUAGGGAGCGAGCGUUGCCCGGAAUUACUGGGCGUAAAGGGUGCGUAGGCGGUUAUUUAAGUCAGAUGUGAAAUACUUGAGCUUAACUCAGGGGCUGCAUCUGAUACUGGGUGACUAGAGUGCAGGAGAGGAAAGUGGAAUUCCUAGUGUAGCGGUGGAAUGCGUAGAUAUUAGGAGGAACACCAGUGGCGAAGGCGACUUUCUGGACUGUAACUGACGCUGAGGCACGAAAGUAUGGGUAGCAAACAGG